UACGGGGGGGGCAAGCGUUGUUCGGAAUUACUGGGCGUAAAGGGCUCGUAGGCGGCCAACUAAGUCAGACGUGAAAUCCCUCGGCUUAACCGGGGAACUGCGUCUGAUACUGGAUGGCUUGAGUGUAGGAGAGGGAUGCGGAAUUCCAGGUGUAGCGGUGAAAUGCGUAGAGAUCAGGAGGAACACCGGUGGCGAAGGCGGCUCUCUGGUCCAUUUCUGACGCUGAGGUGCGAAAGCUAGGGGAGCAAACGGG
rnacentral:rRNA from 1 species